rnacentral:rRNA from 1 species
AGCGAACGCUGGCGGCAGGCUUAACACAUGCAAGUCGAGCGGGCACUUCGGUGUCAGCGGCAGACGGGUGAGUAACACGUGGGAACGUGCCCUUCGGUUCGGAAUAACUCAGGGAAACUUGAGCUAAUACCGGAUACGCCCUUUGGGGAAGGUUACUGCCGAAGGAUCGGCCCGCGUCUGAUUAGCUAGUUGGUGGGGUAAGUGGCCUACCAAGGCGACGAUCAGUAGCUGGUCUGAGAGGAUGAUCAGCCACACUGGGACUGAGAC